UCACAUUCUCACCUCUAAAAAAAUUAGAUACCUACAUAUCAAGCGUGUUUUUGACUAAUUAAAUUAUUUGGAAUUACUUAUAAUAUUGCAAGUAGUACAUAAAAUGUUGCAAACAGCUAAUUACUUAUACUGGAAAUAAUGCCAAAGUGGAAGUACCACAUUUGCACCCGAGAACAAGGGUAUCAAUUCAUCAACCACAUACAUGAAUCAAUCGGUCAACCCGACCCCUUUCCUUGCUUGUCACAUUUGGCAAUUUCUUUUUCCUUGUUGAAAGUCAUGUGCAGUGAUAUGUCGAUGCCUCGUUUCUCACUAAUUCUAGCUAGCCCAUCAAACAGUCUUGGAAACUCUUCGUCUUCCUUGUUGGGCGCAUGAUUCACUGGAUGAUUAACAGAACGUGAUUCCUCGUCUGCAUCUUCAUCUUUCACCCAAUCAAAGAAUCCACAGUCAUCGCUACAGGCGAAGAACAGACGCCCUUUGUUACCAAUAUCUCGUUCAACCUCAAAAUAUUUUCAAUAUUCGUGGUCACAACUAGGGCAUCGGCAUUUUGAGUGGCAUUGUCCAAAAUAGUGCGUGUUGCUUCUACAACCAUGACAAACUCCAAAAUUUCUUCCUCUCAUUCUACUCGAUGACUGCAAAUGAAACAAUGUGAGUCCAUCAUCA
rnacentral:lncRNA from 1 species